rnacentral:rRNA from 1 species
UACCAGCACCCCGAGUGGUCGGGACGAUUAUUGGGCCUAAAGCAUCCGUAGCCGGUUCUGCAAGUCCUCCGUUAAAUCCAACUGCUUAACAGAUGGGCCGCGGAGGAUACUACAGAGCUAGGAGGCAGGAGAGGCAAGCGGUACUCAGUGGGUAGGGGUAAAAUCCUUUGAUCCAUUGAAGACCACCAGUGGCGAAGGCGGCUUGCCAGAACGCGCUCGACGGUGAGGGAUGAAAGCUGGGGGAGCAAACCGG